rnacentral:rRNA from 1 species
UAUGUAGGGUGCGAGCGUUAAUCGGAUUUACUGGGCGUAAAGGGUGCGUAGGCGGCCGCGUGUGUCUGGCGUAAAAUACCACGGCUCAACCGUGGGAAUGCGCUGGAAACUACGUGGCUUGGGUGCGGCAGAGGCAGACGGAACUGCUGGUGUAGGGGUGAAAUCCGUAGAUAUCAGCAGGAACGCCGGUGGAGAAGUCGGUCUGCUGGGCCGUAACCGACGCUGAGGCACGAAAGCUAGGGGAGCGAACCGG